AAAGGAAAUGUAGUUCCUGUUCAUGGGUAGGUUUGUCAUCCCCUGCCUGAGCCUCUUCCAUCGAUGUCUCUUUCCCUAUGAUCAGGACAUCACCUGUUCAAACCCAGCGUGAUCUAUUGGCUGGAGGAGGAAGAGGAGAUGAGGGCAGGAUGGAGAGUUCUCCAAGAAUGGCGACUUAAAACCAAAGGGCCAGCACUUCGGCAGGAUAGAUCUUGGUUCAGAGCAUCAAAUGAGACACAGACGGCAAGAAGCCACAAUGGAGGGCAGCUCUGUGACCGCACGCAGCGUGGAGAAGCUUUCAGUGAACACUCAGGCCUCAGCACACAUG
rnacentral:sRNA from 1 species